UUCUAGCAUAUAUUAAAAUUGCUGCAGUUAAAACGCUCGUAGUUUGAAUUAUUGUUCUGGACGGCGUGGAGUUGUUUUUAUUGACUCUGCGGCGGGCUGGGACAUGAAGAACCCUCGCAGGCACGCUUUAAGUAGUGUGUUUGCGACAUAACCAUGAACAAAAAUUGGCGCUCAAAACAGGACUUUGGUCUAUUGAGAUUUCAGCAUGGGAUUAUAGAAUAUGGGAAGGCUGACCAGGGUCCCACGGGGCAUCUGGAAGGUACUUUCAAUGGUUAAUGAGGACGAUGCGUGGAAGUUCAUAUUAGAAUGUCAGAGGUGAAAUUCUUGGAUUAUUCUACGAUGAACAUCAGCGAAGGCAUUCUUCAAGUGCGUGCNUGUCA
rnacentral:rRNA from 1 species